AAUCUACCUCCGAAUUGGGGAUAACAUUGCGAAAGCGAUGCUAAUACCGAAUAAUAUCUUUUUAGCCCCGGCUUAAAAGAUCAAAGGUGGUCACUACAUGUAAACUACUGUUUGGAGAUGAGCCCGCGCACCAUUAGCUUGUUGGUAGGGUAAUGGCUUACCAAGGCUUCGAUGGUUAGCUGGUCUGAGAGGAUGAUCAGCCACACUGGAACUGACACACGGUCCAG
rnacentral:rRNA from 1 species